rnacentral:rRNA from 1 species
UAGUCCACGCUGUAAACGAUGUCUACUAGCUGUUGGGUUCCUUGAGGACUUAGUGGCGCAGCUAACGCGAUAAGUAGACCGCCUGGGGAGUACGGCCGCAAGGUUAAAACUCAAAUGAAUUGACGGGGGCCCGCACAAGCGGUGGAGCAUGUGGUUUAAUUCGACGCAACGCGAAGAACCUUACCUACACUUGACAUACUCGUCGGGACUUUCAGAGAUGAUUGUCUUCGGUUCGGCUGGACGAUGUACAGGUGCUGCACGGCUGUCGUCAGCUCGUGUCGUGAGAUGUUUGGUUAAGUCCAGCAACGAGCGCAACCCCUAUCGUAUGUUGCCAGCAUUCAGUUGGGCACUCAUGCGAGACUGCCGGUGUUAAGCCGGAGGAAGGUGGGGACGACGUCAAGUCAUCAUGGCCCUUACGUGUAGGGCUACAAACGUGCUACAAUGGGAGUUACAGUGGGCAGCGACGUCGCGAGGCGAAGCUAAUCCCUAAAAGCUCUCU